rnacentral:rRNA from 1 species
GACAGAGGGGGCAAGCGUUGCUCGGAAUCACUGGGCGUAAAGGGCGCGUAGGCGGGAUGGCAAGUCGGUCGUGAAAUCCCUGGGCUCAACUCAGGGGGGUCGGCCGAUACUGCCAUUCUUGAGGGAUGCAGAGGAGACUGGAAUUCCCGGUGUAGCGGUGAAAUGUGUAGAGAUCGGGAGGAACACCGGUGGCGAAGGCGGGUCUCUGGGCCGAUACUGACGCUGAGGAGCGAAAGCGUGGGGAGCGAACAGG